rnacentral:rRNA from 1 species
AGAGUUUGAUCCUGGCUCAGGACGAACGCUGGCGGCGUGCUUAACACAUGCAAGUCGAGCGGAAAGGCCCUUCGGGGUACUCGAGCGGCGAACGGGUGAGUAACACGUGAGUAACCUGCCCUGGACUUUGGGAUAACCCUCGGAAACGGGGGCUAAUACCGGAUACGACUUGAGCUCGCAUGGGCUUGGGUGGAAAGUUUUUCGGUCUGGGAUGGGCUCGCGGCCUAUCAGCUUGUUGGUGGGGUGAUGGCCUACCAAGGCGACGACGGGUAGCCGGCCUGAGAGGGCGACCGGCCACACUGGGACUGAGACACGGCCCAGACUCCUACGGGAGGCAGCAGUGGGGAAUAUUGCACAAUGGGCGGAAGCCUGAUGCAGCGACGCCGCGUGAGGGAUGACGGCCUUCGGGUUGUAAACCUCUUUCAGCAGGGACGAAGCGCAAGUGACGGUACCUGCAGAAGAAGCGCCGGCCAACUACGUGCCAGCAGCCGCGGUAAGACGUAGGGCGCGAGCGUUGUCCGGAUUUAUUGGGCGUAAAGAGCUCGUAGGCGGCUUGUCGCGUCGUCCGUGAAAACCUGCAGCUCAACUGCAGGCUUGCGGUCGAUACGGGCAGGCUCGAGUUCGGUAGGGGAGACUGGAAUUCUCUGGUGUAGCGGUGAAAUGCGCAGAUAUCAGGAGGAACACCGGUGGCGAAGGCGGGUCUCUGGGCCGAUACUGACGCUGAGGCGCGAAAGUGUGGGGAGCAAACAGGAUUAGAUACUCUGGUAGUCCACACGGUAAACGAUGAAUGCUAGGUGUAGGGGGUAUCGACUCUUUCUGUGCCGGAGUAAACACAAUAAGCAUUCCGCCUGGGGGAGUACGGUCGCAAGAUUAAAACUCAAAGGAAUUG